GAUGAACGCUGGCGGCGUGCCUAAUACAUGCAAGUCGAGCGGAAGGACGAGCAGUUUGCUUCUCUGUUGUUAGCGGCGGGCGGGGGAGUAACGAGUGGCUAACCUAUCUAUUAGCCUGGGAUAACUUCGGGGAACCGUAGAUAAUACCGGAUAAUCUUUUGAACCGCAUGGUUCAAAAGUGAAUGACGGACUUGCUGUCACUUAUAGAUGGAGCCGCGCUGCAUUAGCUAGUUGGUAAGGUAACGGUUUACCAAGGCAACGAUGCAUAGCCGACCUCAGAGGGUGAUCGGGCACACUGGAACUGAGACACGGUCCAGACUCCUACGGGAGGCAGCAGUAGGGGAGCUGCCGCAAUGAGCGAAAGCCGGACGGAGCAACGCCGCGUGAGUGAGGAAGGUCUUCGGAUCGGAAUACUCUGUUACUAGGGAAGAAGAGAUGUGUAAGUGACUGGGCACGUCGUGACGGUACCUGAACAGAAAGCCACGGCUAACUACGUG
rnacentral:rRNA from 1 species